rnacentral:rRNA from 1 species
AGAGUUUGAUCCUGGCUCAGGACGAACGCUGGCGGCGCGCCUAACACAUGCAAGUCGAACGAGCGAGAGAGAGCUUGCUUUCUCAAGCGAGUGGCGAACGGGUGAGUAACGCGUGAGGAACCUGCCUCAAAGAGGGGGACAACAGUUGGAAACGACUGCUAAUACCGCAUAAGCCCACAGCUCGGCAUCGAGCAGAGGGAAAAGGAGCAAUCCGCUUUGAGAUGGCCUCGCGUCCGAUUAGCUAGUUGGUGAGGUAAUGGCCCACCAAGGCGACGAUCGGUAGCCGGACUGAGAGGUUGAACGGCCACAUUGGGACUGAGACACGGCCCAGACUCCUACGGGAGGCAGCAGUGGGGAAUAUUGCACAAUGGGGGAAACCCUGAUGCAGCGACGCCGCGUGGAGGAAGAAGGUCUUCGGAUUGUAAACUCCUGUUGUUGAGGAAGAUAAUGACGGUACUCAACAAGGGAGUGACGGCUAACUACGUGCCAGCAGCCGCGGUAAAACGUAGGUCACAAGCGUUGUCCGGAAUUACUGGGUGUAAAGGGAGCGCAGGCGGGAAGACAAGUUGGAAGUGAAAUCUAUGGGCUCAACCCAUAAACUGCUUUCAAAACUGUUUUUCUUGAGUAGUGCAGAGGUAGGCGGAAUUCCCGGUGUAGCGGUGGAAUGCGUAGAUAUCGGGAGGAACACCAGUGGCGAAGGCGGCCUACUGGGCACCAACUGACGCUGAGGCUCGAAAGUGUGGGUAGCAAACAGGAUUAGAUACNCUGGUAGUCCACACCGUAAACGAUGAUUACUAGGUGUUGGAGGAUUGACCCCUUCAGUGCCGCAGUUAACACAAUAAGUAAUCCACCUGGGGAGUACGACCGCAAGGUUGAAACUCAAAGGAAUUGACGGGGGCCCGCACAAGCAGUGGAGUAUGUGGUUUAAUUCGACGCAACGCGAAGAACCUUACCAAGUCUUGACAUCCUGCGACGCACAUAGAAAUAUGUGUUUCCUUCGGGACGCAGAGACAGGUGGUGCAUGGUUGUCGUCAGCUCGUGUCGUGAGAUGUUGGGUUAAGUCCCGCAACGAGCGCAACCCUUACUGUCAGUUACUACGCAAGAGGACUCUGGCAGGACUGCCGUUGACAAAACGGAGGAAGGUGGGGAUGACGUCAAAUCAUCAUGCCCUUUAUGACUUGGGCUACACACGUACUACAAUGGCGUUAAACAAAGAGAAGCAAGACCGCGAGGUGGAGCAAAACUCAGAAACAACGUCCCAGUUCGGACUGCAGGCUGCAACUCGCCUGCACGAAGUCGGAAUUGCUAGUAAUCGUGGAUCAGCAUGCCACGGUGAAUACGAUCCCGGGCGUGUACACACCGCCCGUCA